rnacentral:rRNA from 1 species
UACGAAGGGGGCUAGCGUUGCUCGGAAUCACUGGGCGUAAAGCGCACGUAGGCGGAUCUUUAAGUCAGGGGUGAAAUCCUGGAGCUCAACUCCAGAACUGCCUUUGAUACUGGCGACCUUGAGUCCGGGAGAGGUGAGUGGAACUGCGAGUGCAGAGGUGAAAUUCGUAGAUAUUCGCAAGAACACCGGUGGCGAAGGCGGCAUCCUGGACCGGUAUUGACGCUGAGGAGCGAAAGCCAGGGGAGCAAACGGG